rnacentral:rRNA from 1 species
AUGUCGGGCCAGGUGUUCGUCUUUGGCGGCGCUGACUCGACUAGUCACCUCGGCCAGGUCAAGACCUACACUCCAAGAAAAUCACCAGGUUUGGCAACCUGGAGCACUCUGCGGACUCCGCGGAGAGCUAAUCCUCCAUGGUUUGGUGUCACACAAGGUCCAAGAGCAGCAGGACCCGGUUCUCUCAGACUCGAUGUCAGGUCGGAUCCAGGAUCCACCAGAAGAAGUGGAACUUCUCAACCCAUCUCAUCAUCGCCAAUGCCGAUGAAGUAUCUCACCGGAAGAAGUCGGAUUCUAUUCUGA